AGCUCAAAGAGAUUGGAGCUUCAGUCCAGCUUCACAGGCUCCGCCCCUGGCAAAGGAAGGGGGCGGGGCAGUUUGAUGGAGCGCCUAUGGCAAUCUGAUUUCCACUACGGGGGCAUGUCCUCGCUUGCAUGUGCGCCCUCAACGUCUGCCCUGCAGUCAAAGAAACAACUCUCUAUACAGUCUGUUUUGGCAUCCAUCCCAACUAAGAAACUUGAUAAACUUUAGAAUUUUUUUUCUUUUCUUUUUUUUUUCAAAUGUGCUGGUGUUCAUGUUGUCUAAUCAAGUCUUACUUCAUGUAGUUCUGAAUUCAGGUGAGGUGUCAGGCUGUUCAGGUGACUUCAAAGGCCUGAUGUCUAUGCUGACACCUGGAGCGCUUAAUAUUAAGAAACACUUAGGACAAGCAAAGAAUUCAAGGUGCUCCAGAGUAGUCCUCCCUCCCAGCCCAAUGUAAGCAGGGGUUCCUUGCUCUCUCCGAAAGAUGCCCCUCAGG